GCCAGCAUGGCAUAGUGGUUUGAGCAUUGGACUAUGACUCUGGAGUUCAGGAUUCGAUUUCCCGUUUGAGCA